rnacentral:rRNA from 1 species
UACGAAGGUUGCGAGCGUUGUUCGGAAUCACUGGGCUUAAAGCGCAUGUAGGCGGCCCAUCAAGUGCCUUGUGAAAUCCCUCGGCUCAACCGGGGAAUUGCUUGGUAGACUGUUCGGGCUUGAGGCAGGUAGGGGCGCGUGGAACUCUUGGUGGAGCGGUGGAAUGCGUAGAUAUCAAGAGGAACGCCGGUGGCGAAAGCGGCGCGCUGGGCCUGUCCUGACGCUGAGAUGCGAAAGCCAGGGGAGCAAACGGG